AACAUUGUUGGAUUAACACUUUGUUCUGUGUUCUUGGAACUAGAUUUGAAACAGAACCAGAGUUCUGUGAAAUGCAUGAAUUUAUUGUUUGAUUAUGUGAAGCUCAAGAUACUCAUUUCCUUUAGCAAAUAGCCAUCACAAAAGCAGCCUUGAGUAAGCAAUUAAUUUAGAUUCCCUGUACCAAGCAAAUCAGUGUGUAUAUGUGUGUGUGUGUUUAAUGCAUGAAUUUAUUGUUUGAUUAUGAAUACCAAGCUGAGGUUAAAGGAUACUCAUUUUCUUUAGCAAGCAACCAUCACACAAGCAGCCUUGAGUAAGCAAUUAUUUUAGGGCCCCUGUACCAAACAAAUCUCUGUGUGUGGGGGUAUGUCUACACAUGCGCAUUUAAUGCACAUUAGCCUGAUUUAAGGCUUAUUAAGGGUGCAUGUCUACAUGCGCGCACCCUUAAUGCAUCUUAAAAAUAGUGAUGUAAGGCUAUAUGAGCCUAAAUUUGAUACAUGCAUAAAAUAGGUAUCAAAUUUAUGUGUGAAUAGUUACAUUGUAUUAGCAAACAUGUAGAUGCACUAAAGUGCAUUAACAUGGUUUGACCAUUGACUUGGGGCUGACUUUAGUCCCAAAUUGGUCUGCACACCUGCGUUAAUGCACAUUAGUGCAUGCAUGUGUGGAUGCGUGCCUAAAUUGAUUUAAUGCGCGUUAAGUUUAGGCGUGCAUAAAAGUACAUGUGGAGAUGCUCUGUGUGUAAUAAAACUACAGACCGCCUCACCAGGGGGAUGAGCUGGACCUGGAAUUCUCAGGAGGCUGUAAAGUCAAGGGAUGUGGUUGUCAUGGGUGACCUAAACUACUCAGACAUCUGCUGGGAGGAGCAGACAGCCAGGUCUGACUGCUCACGUAGGUUCCUAGCCAGGAUGCAGGACCUCCACCUAAGCCAGGAGGUGCAUAGUCCCACCAGGGGAAAUACCUUGCUGCACUUGGUCCUUGCCACAGGCGAUGACCUGGUGAGGGGUCUGCGGGUACUCGACCACCUGGGUGACAGUGAUCAUUGCCUGCUGGAAUUUACUAUUCAGCGCAGGAUGAUGAAAGCAAGCAGUAAGGCAAAAGUCCUUGACUUCAGGAGGGCUGACUUCAAUGAGUUAAGAAGAUUAGUAGGAAAGGCAUUGGGGUCUCAGAGCUUCAACGAGAUGGGAGUCCAAGACAGGUGGUUGUUCCUCAAGGAGACUAUCCUCCAAGCUCAAAGGAAGUCAGUCCCAAUGUACACUAAUGGGAGCAGGAGUGCUAAAAAGCCCCUCUGGCUCAGCAAAAGCAUCCAGGAAUGCCUGAGGGCAAAAAAAGGAGGUGUACAAAUAGUGGAAACAAAGGGCUGUCAGCAAAGAGGAUUAUACCUCCGUUGCUCGUGACUGCAAGGAGGCUGUUAGGAAGGCCAAGGCAGAGAUGGAGCUAGGGCUAGCAACCAGAAUUAGGGAUAACAAAAAGUCCUUUUUCAAAUGCACAGGGGGUAAGAAGAAAGCACCAGGGAAUGUGGGACCGGACAGGCUUGGCAAUCUGGUGAUUGCAGCAAAUGAAAAAGCUGACCUCUUUAACAAAUUCUUUGCCUCCAUAUUUCUGAACACAAACUGGGACAUUUCCCUCACUAGGAUUGCAGAUGGAUCCAGGGGAGGCACCACCAUGCCUAGGGUCAGGGAUGACCUAGUUAGGAAAUUGUUGGAGGGGUUGGAUGUGUUUAAAUCAGUAGGUCCAGAUGCUCUUCACCCGAGGGUGCUGAGGGAAUUGGUGGGGGUCAUAGUGAGGCUCCUGGCACAGCUUUACGAGCACUCGUGGGGCUCUGGCCAGGUACCAGAGGAUUGGAAAAGGGCCAAUGUGGUCCCCAUUUACAAGAAGGGGAGAAAGGAGGACCUGGGUGACUAUAGGCCAGUCAGUCUCACCUCGGUCCUUGGGAAGACCUUUGAGAAAAUUAUCAAGGAGCACAUCAGCAAAGGCCCAGCAGGGGAGGUAAUGCUCAGGGGCAACCAACAUGGGUUCAUUGAGGGCAGAUCCUGCCUGACUAACCUGGUUUCCUUUUAUGAUCAGGUCACAAAGUCCCUGGACGAGGGCGUUGAGGUGGAUGUCAUCUUCCUGGACUUUAAGAAGGCCUUUGACACUGUUUCCCACCACAUUCUCUCAAAAAACCUAGGUAGAGUCCAGGUGUGGCAGGGCAUGGAGUCUUCAGGUCAAUGGGGAGAGACACGUGUAUAAGGACCAGGGGUUAAAGACUUGCUCUGGGACAAGGUAACCCCAUGCUACACCUGCAAGACAUAUUAGGUUUUGAGGAAGAAGCACAGUUCUGUGGGUAGUGGACCAGGAACAGAGAAGUCUUUGAUUUUCAGAUGUUGAGAUGAUCUGGUAAGUCCCCUGCUGAUGGCUGCCUUUUUGAUCCUUUUCCUGAAGCAAAGGAAGACCCUGAUACUGAAUGAAGGCUUUGUGGCUAUUCAGAUUCUGGACACGGACAGAGAAUACAACCCAGAAAGGACUUUUAGAAGAAAGAGGGUCUUAUCCAUGCCUUAUGUGAGUUCAUUCAUAUUUUAUGUUUUUGACCACUGAUGCUCCUUGAAGGAAGGGUUGGCCUUCCAUGGACUUGGCCACAGAGCUGUGACCUUACAACCUGUAUUUUUAAUGGCUUAGAUGUUGAAGACCAGAGAGUGAGUAACUUCAGGGCCUUUUGACAACUGUAGGGGAUGAUGCGGGAGACCAACUCUGUGACACUUGCCUGUUUAGUUGAUAAUUUUUUUCAGACAGGGGUUAUUUCUCAGCCCCAGAACCACACAGGAAUGAGUCCAGGACUGGGGCUGUCAGGCAGCUGUUUGGUGGUCUCAGCCCCAGGACCACACUGAGAUGCUUACAGAGAUUCCCUGGGGGCACAUCUCAGCAAGGGAGAUCACGUUGCUCCACGGAAUCAAUGGGCAAGACAACAGGUAACUUGAGUUUCUCCCCAGGAAGCAGAUUAGCUCUGCCCCACUGAAACUGCUAACCCUGCUUUCCAAGGGACGUCCUUCUAAACAUGGAUCAAGGUGGAAGCAUUUUCCCUCAGACCUCCUGCUUGUUGCGCUUUCUCGAGUGAACAGUUGAGUCAAUGAAGUCUCUAAAUCCUGUUCCACGGGAGCAAAGGAAAUACUUGCAUGCUUAUGAACUCUUUUUAAGUCAGGGCUUUGGUGAAGGUCCUACUCACCCAAUUGGUGUUCCUAACACUAUAGAGGAAUAAAUGUAGUUCUCCCUGUGAGCUAUGUGCCAUGAGGCGCCUUUCACCCUUGGGUCUCAAUUAAAAAGCCAACUCUAAUACCUGGUAGUAUCAGUCCCCUUGCUUGAAAUUAGAGCUGGUUGAUACACAUGUACAUUCUUUUUCCCAGCAAGUGUUUCUUCUAAAUUUUGUGGCAGUUUUUUUUGUUGAAGAAAGCAUUGUCAUUUUUCAUGGUAGUUCUCCAACCACCUAGGAGCUGAAGGGACAGUGGGGGAGGGCAGGCAGGGAGUGACUAGUCAUGUGGCAGAAAACUUGUCACUUUGUCUGACCUCAUUUAACUGGAAUGAAGUGUGACAGCAGUUUCUGUCGAUGUGUUUAGUUCUUUCCCACCUUUGCAGCAUGGCUGUUUGGGUGCUAGUUUGUUCCAGUUGUCUGUUGGUGCAUCUGAUGUUCAGAAAAAUUCUUGACACAUGGUGUCUUUUAGACACGGUGAUAAGAUAACUGAGCUCACUGCAUGUUGUGUCUUGAGCCCAUACUUUGUCAUCCUAUACGAUACUUUAGACAUCAUAUAAUUCUUCACCUUUAUGAGUCUUCAUAUUUUACUCAGUGGUUUCAUUCCUUUUGUCUUAGAAUGUGACAGGGAAUUAAAAGGCUCCCAAUUAACACGUGAACUUUUUUAUACCUCUCCCUUAUUUUCAGUAAACUUUCCUUUCCUAACUGCAUGUGGCAUUUGAUAACCUUUACUUUAUUUUCUGCAACUAAUUAUUUUAGGUUAUGCUGUCUACAGUUUAGUUCAGCCUAUUAUGAAGCUUAUUCUGCUAGCUCUACUACAGAACAUAUGGUCUCUGCAUCUUCAUCUGUAUUGCUUCUUGCCCCCUUAUUUAUAUCUUGUUUCUUUACUCUCUGGAGGAUGGGAAAAAAACCCAAGUUGUUCCCCACACUGCCAUACUAGCUUGUCGUAACCACAAUCCUACUCCAGUAAAAGUCAAUGAAUGUUUUGCCACAGACUCCAGCGUGGUCAGGAUUGGCCCUCUGUUUUAAAAGUCUAGAUCUUCACUUUGGCACAGCCCUGCAUCUUCAAACAAGGACAACACAACACAAAUGCAAAAACACAGGCAAAGGGGAUCAGUAUAUUUGCCAUGGCUUUUCUACAGUCUAAUCUCCUCCAUUGGAUGCCUUAUUUCUUUAAUUGCUCUCCUUCAGGAAUGGUCUUUCUGUUUUCACUCCUGUCUCAGAGUUCAUAAUUUCUAAUGAUAAAAGUUCAGCUGAAAAUCUUCCAAGUUCAGCCAUAGGAAGGCUCCUAUAGUAAAUGGGUCACUGGAACAAGAUACAGGCGGCAUGAGUUCAUGUCAACUCAAAUGAAAGUCUCCAGUGUAAUUUUGAGUAAGCUACUUACAGCCAAAUCAAGAUGAGAGGCAAAAUGUGUGUGCCUACCUUCGAGGGUGUGAUCCUGAAAACCAUAGUCAACCCUGGCUAGCCUUUGGAAGUACCUGACAUCUAUUGGUGCCUUUAAUUUUUUACCUUACUUUUCCAGAAGUUUGACUUCUGUACCUGUGCAGAAACACCUUACCCACUUGGCCCCCUACUUCAUUCCUAAACCCAACUGGGAUUUACAAGUACCUUACAGACUAAGUUUGGUAGGUACUUGAUCCUGGUACAGAGCCUGGGGUCAGCAGAUGGCUGCACCCUGCCUUCUAGUUGGGUAGUCGGGAGGUGGGUUUAAUUCCAUCCGUAAGUCAGAUCAUACAUCAUACACUACCAAGCGUCCACAGAGGGUGUAACCACUAGGGAAUAUACAAGACAGACCUGUGUUUUGAAUCCCACCUCUUUCUAGGCUCAGAGAGAUGCCUCCCUCCACUUGGGAGUCACAGCCCAGUCUGCUCCCUUUCUGGGAAUGAGGCACCUAUAUGCAUGUUUUCAAAACACAGGAGGAGGAGAUGGUGCCCUUCCUCUCCAUUCAAUAGUCCAGUGGUUACAGCAUUCAGCCAAGACUGGUAGAUUUAGUUGCAAUUCCUUCUUCUGCUUGAGUGAAUUUAACCUCGCAUCUCUACUUCCCAGGAGAGUCUUCGUUCCCUGCUCUCCUCCCCCCUUUCCCCAGCUACUAGACGUUAAUGUGUUUUCAGAUGGAUGCGUACUCUCAUUUCUGCUUCUUCAAAGCUGUUCCACUUUACCUAUUCAUUAAGCUGGAGAGUGACAGCCUCCUUAACAUUCACGAGAGAAAGAGAGAGAAAGAGAGAAGAGAGGCACAUCUUCCAGCCUCUGCUCCACUGAAUGUCACUGGUUAUUAUAUCAGGUCAAUUGUCAGCAGUGCAGGGGCUGGAACCCAGGUCUCCCCCUUGCUGUUCCAAUAGGGUCUUACCCUGCUAAGCUCGAACCCAAUGCCUUGCCAGGCAAGGAAGGUCUGCUUGUACACUCACAGCUAAAUUUAUUAAGUAUGUGACCUUUUUUUUGGCUUCUUACAUAAAGUUUAGCUCCUCAGGCUCAGGCGGGAUCCACUCCAGCCACUUACACUUCGUUGCAAUCCCAAGCCGAUUGUGAUGGCACAGUAUGAACUUCAAGUAUAUGAAACUUUAGUCACAGACAAGUCACAUUUGGUGAACAUGUGCUACUGUGGGAGGUGAAUCCCAAAUGGAUUUGGGCAGAUUUUUCUUGUCCAGAUACUCAGCUCUGUCAAAAUGGCAGUACUCUGGGCCUGCAUAGUAGCUGAACGUUGGGUGCCUACCUCAUAUUUUGCUAGAAAACUUAGUUACCUAGGAGGUGUUCAGUGUUUCAGCUACCUCAGUACCACGUAGUUGGGUGAGGCAUCUCAUCCCACAAAGAGAGGUGCUAGUGUUUGCCUACAAUGUGACUAUAUUUGCAAAGCAGCUUUUUAGCAGACUCUUUUUCCCCACCAGAUUACUUUGUACAUGCAGCUCUAACCUGUGCUUUGUCACAGUUAUGGAUUUCCCCACAUUACUGCUUGCAGGGCUUUGGAAUAGAGACUGGAUAGGGAAGUGGUGUGAAACAGGAUUCUUAACCUUAGCUGAAGCAAAGAUCCCAUGCACAUGACCCAGGUCUUUACAGAAAUAUUCUCAUCUACCUAAGAGAUCUGCAAGCCUUAAGUGAACUGUCUUCACUGUUUUCUCCGUAUGAGAUUUCUGACAAAACAUUCACCUGCAACUCAGCUGGAAAUACUGCUGUUUCUAGUUAAGUACAACAUCCAGCCUUGAAGGCUCCUCAACCCAAACCACAUGACUAUCUCCCAUUGCAGUCAAUAUAAAGUGCCCAAAUACCACUGAGAACCUGGGCCAGUAUGGCUGGCAGGCAGGCAUGCAGGCAGAAAGGCUCUUUAUAGCAGGAUGGAGUUUCAAAGGCAGAAAUGACACUGAUACACAAUGAGGGUAAAGCACCUAACUGCUAUUUGGGUCUGAAAAUCUCACUUGUUGGCCUGUUCCAGCCAUUGCUGCUUGCUCCACUCUGCAUCUAAACAGCAGACAGCAGGAGCAGCACGCAAAGAGAGGAAACUUUUUCAGUGGAGGAAUCACUGGAGAUUCAGCAAUCAACAGAUGAAUCAUUCAGAACUGCAGAGCCAUUGCUGAUAGGUGCAGUGGGCUCUAGCAUUUGCUCCCUUUCCUUUCCUGUAAUUGAUACUCAGGCCCAGAAAGACUCUCCCACAAACAUACUUUACACAUUCUGAGAAAAUGAAAAGUAUCCCCAGUGGUUUUGGAUACCUGAAUUGUGGCAUCUUUCCCAGGUUUUGUUGGAAUUGCUGGGGUGCUUUAUGUUCCACAAGUUAGAGUCAAUAGAAGUACUUCAAAUGAGGCCACGGUAUCAAGGCUUUAUUAGUGACACUUUUGCAAUCUCCACUGUGAUACUUUUUGGCAUGAAACAGAUUGUCUGGGAAUCAUGGCUAAACCUAGCUUUUGGGACACAAGCUGACUUAGAAGCCAAUAACAGGAGAGAAAAUUGAGGUGCAUAACUUGAGUCACAGGAUGAGGAGCAUAGCAAGAAGGAUGAGAAAUUAUUUAACAUGACAGCCAUGAAACAAAGGGUCCAAGUAUGUAGCUCAAGGGAGAAACAAGUCCAUCCUAUAAAAACCUGACAAGGCUUGCUUGCAUUUGAUUCUGGUAAUGUUUUAUUAUCAGUUCCUGGGACACCAACUUUUUUAUAGUACAGAAAUGAAAGACAAAUAGUCCCACUGUUUCUUUUUGUAACUUACAUAUUUAAUAAAGCUACUGUCUAUUCCAUCAUGUUGCACCAAAGAUGCCUUCCCUUGCCCCAGGCAGGACUUUACUAUCUUUUACAGGUGUCUCCUACCUAGACUGUGACUAAAGACUGUUUUCAUGCUAUAAAUUCUAACUGACAGAUAACAUUUACUCACACAUCUUUGCAAGUUGUAGAUAAGCCAGUAAAUCAUUAUUUCCUUUAAAUAAUUAGAAUUACCUGGCCUUAAAAGCAAUUCUGGUAUUGAAUAAGGGACAACUGAUAUACCAAUUGUUGGAAUUUUGGAAAGAUACUUGAGGACACAAAAAAGGAGACCACAAGCAAAAUAAUAGUUUUAAAGGGGGGAAAAAAUGUACUUGUGAAGCAACAUGGUUCAAACCCUCAUCAUAUAUCAACUGAUAAGGCUCCCUCUCUAGCAAGGCAACUGCUUGCCCUGAGCAGUGUCCCUGUGGGGCAGUACUGGUUUCCAUAGUACAGAUGAUGGUGGGAUGCCCAAAGGUGGUACCUGUGGCUGCUGCUCCCUCACCCCCGCACCUCAGUUAUAUUACUGAGCUGCAUUGCGGUGAAAGAUCCAUCUUCAUUGGCACAAGUAUCUCAUUGUAUGUCUCUGAAAGAGCAGGAACAUAAGUUGUUGAGAAGGACUGCAGGCGUUUUUAGCUGAAGUGUAAUAUAAUGGAUAACACUAUGUUUACUAAAGGUCGAGAGCAAAGCAUUUGGGAGGAAAAGUUGAAAAGUUAUAUCACACUGUGAUGCACUGACACAGUAAAGGUACAGCUGAGCAGAAAAAAUGAAGGUACCAGUCUGAUGAAAUUAAUGUUCUGUGAAGACUCUCUCAUUUAAAAUCAAACUCACUUAUGACCUUUUGUCUGAACAGCAAAUAAAAAAAAUCUAUCAUGCAAUAGCAGUCAAAUGGAAGACAACAAUAUGAUUUUUAAAUGAACAACGGUUUUAUUCAUGAAAAAUUCAUAAAAAUGUGUAAAAUAUUCUCAAAUAUAUUUGAUUUGUUGACUGUAAUUAAAAAUAUAAAAAUAUACUAAACAAAUACAUAAAUUAAAUUGACAAUAGUA